UACGUAGGGGGCUAGCGUUGUCCGGAAUCAUUGGGCGUAAAGCGCGCGUAGGCGGUCAGGUAAGUCCGGUGUGAAAGUCAAAGGCUCAACCUUUGAAAGCCGAUGGAUACUGCGGAGCUAGAGUACGGAAGAGGCGAGUGGAAUUCCUGGUGUAGCGGUGGAAUGCGCAGAUAUCAGGAGGAACACCAAUAGCGAAGGCAGCUCGCUGGGACGUUACUGACACUGAGGCGCGAAAGCGUGGGGAGCGAACAGG
rnacentral:rRNA from 1 species